UGGUACGCAGUCUACGAGCGGCUAACUCCGUGCCAGCAGCCGCGGUAAUACGGGGGGAGCAAGCGUUGUUCGGAUUUACUGGGCGUAAAGGGCGCGUAGGCGGCCACCGCAAGUCGACUGUGAAAUCUCCGGGCUUAACCCGGAAAGGUCAGCCGAUACUGCGGGGCUAGAGUGCAGAAGGGGCAACUGGAAUUCUCGGUGUAGCGGUGAAAUGCGUAGAUAUCGAGAGGAACACCUGCGGCGAAGGCGGGUUGCUGGGCUGACACUGACGCUGAGGCGCGAAAGCUAGGGGAGCGAACGGGAUUAGAUACCCCGCUCGUAGACUGCGUACC
rnacentral:rRNA from 1 species